AAUGCUUUUUUGUUUACAAUUUUUUUUUUUACAGUUUUUGACUUUUACAAUAGCUGACCUUUUCCUUAAUUAAAUAUUGGCUUACGAUAAAAAUACCCUCGAUCAGUUUGAGUUAUUACACUUUCCAGAUUGUGGCAAUGGACUCUGAUGAAUGGACCAACGGUAGAUUACGUCAUGAGGAGGCUGAGAGCCUGCAGGGUGGGUGGGGCUCACACACACAAGCCCCAUGCAGUAUGCACACAUACACAGUACAGUGCUAGACGCUCAAGUAUCCACUGCAGCAUGUAGACUAGAUCUACUGUUGAUUGAAGCAUAGAUAGUAGAAGAAGUAAGGGAGUAGUCUCUCGAAACAUGUCUGUCGAUUCCUCUACUAUAUAUCUAUAAUUGAAGCAACAAUUUAAGAAAGGUAUGGAACAGCUGGUCCAGGUCUCCUUGGUGUCGUCCUUUCACUCCCUACGCAAAGUACAAGUGUUUAAACAUUCUCGGUAUGGCUCCGUUGGUAUCAGGUAAACCUGAAAAUGCAUUCGUUGGUUAUUAAAGUUCCUAUUUCAGUGGGUGGACCAACGGGCUGGAUAACAAGCAAGAAAAUAGUUUACUUACAUUGUACUUUGCAUGCAUUCUUUUUUAUAGCCUUAUCCGAGCUCAUUUAAAAGCUUGGUGUCUUCGUUGGCAUCAGGAAAACCUGCUCGUUGGUCCAUACAGGAGGCCGUUUCUGGAAACUAGGUGGACCAACGACAAUUUGGUGUGAUUAUGAGCUCAUUUCAAAGCUUGGUGUCUCCGUUGGCAUCAUUAUAAACUGGAAAUCCUGCUUGUUGGUCUAUGAGGUUUCCUGUUUCUGGAAACUGGAUGGACCAACGGCCUGGACAACAAUUUGGUGUGAUUAUGAGCUCAUUUCAAAGCUUGGUGUCUCCGUUGGCAUCAUUAUAAACUGGAAAUCCUGCUUGUUGGUCUAUGAGGUUUCCUGUUUCUGGAAACUGGAUAGACCAACGGCCUGGACGACAAUUUGGUGUGAUUAUGAGCUCAUUUCAAAGCUUGGUGUCUCCGUUGCAUCAUUAUAAACUGGAAAUCCUGCUUGUUGGUCUAUGAGGUUUCCUGUUUCUGGAAACUGGAUAGACCAACGGCCUGGACAACAAUUUGGUGUGAUUAUGAGCUCAUUUCAAAGCUUGGUGUCUCCGUUGGCAUCAUUAUAAACUGGAAAUCCUGCUUGUUGGUCUAUGAGGUUUCCUGUUUCUGGAAACUGGAUGGACCAACGGCCUGGACAACAAUUUGGUGUGAUUAUGAGCUCAUUUCAAAGCUUGGUGUCUCCGUUGGCAUCAUUAUAAACUGGAAAUCCUGCUUGUUGGUCUAUGAGGUUUCCUGUUUCUGGAAACUGGAUAGACCAACGGCCUGGACGACAAUUUGGUGUGAUUAUGAGCUCAUUUCAAAGCUUGGUGUCUCCGUUGCAUCAUUAUAAACUGGAAAUCCUGCUUGUUGGUCUAUGAGGUUUCCUGUUUCUGGAAACUGGAUAGACCAACGGCCUGGACGACAAUUUGGUGUGAGCAAGCUUGCAUGGUGUCUCCGUUGGCAUCAUUAAACUGGAAAACCUGCUCAUUGGUCCAUAUAAGGUUUCAUGUUUCUGGAAACUGGGUGGACAAUUAAUGGCCUGAACGACAAGUUGGUGUGAGCUUCAAAGCUUGCAUGGUGUCUCCGUUGGCAUCUUUAAACUAGAAAACCUGCUCGUUGGUCCAUAAGAUUUCCUGCUUCUGGAAACUAGGUGGACCAACAGCCUGGACGACAAGUAAGAAAUAGUUCACGCAGCUUGAAUGCAAUGUGUUCCAGGUUGGUGUCAGCUCAUUUCAAAGCUUAGUGUCUCUUGUUUGCAUCAAUUAAGGAAACUAGGUGGACCAACGGCCUGGACGACAAUUGGUGUCAGAGCUUGGUGGCUCUCCGUUGGCAUCAUGCAGUUAUACUAAUAAACCUGGACGUUGGCCCAUAACCUUUUCUGUUUUGGAAACUGGGUGGACCAACGGCCUGGACGACACUGACAGGUGGGUAUCAGCUCAUUUCAAAUGCUGCAUGCAUGGUGGCUUUGUUGGAAACUCGAAAACCUGUUCCCUGCAUGGUCUAUCAGAAUAUCAUAUCCAGCCGGAAAUUGGAUAGACAACAGCCUAUACGACAGCUGCAUCUACAAACUCUAUUAUACAUCAGACUGAAUGAAAGCCUCACUGCGACUCUGUAUGCUGAAAUCUACAAUGACAUUUAAGGAUUCUGUUUCCGUGUAGAGUAAGAGGCUGGCACUGGAUUCUUGUUGCUGUCAAUCUCCCAAAGAAAACUGUCUAUGUUCUUGACUCCCAGUCGCCAAUUCUCUCACCUUUUACUGAGCAGGCAACAUGCAUGCACAAGACAUUAAUCAAUUCUUAAGCAUGUGCAUUUGAUCACCUGCAAAGAUGGAUAUACAGUGGCUGCUCAGGAUGGAGUUGAAUGUGGCAUUCAUGUGAUACACAAUAAUUAUUAUGACAAUGGUCAAGUUUUCUGGACUACCUGCAUCAAAGCACCUGCAAAAGUCUGUAAACACUGCUGAAUUACGUGGAUUGAUCCUGUUAUCAUGCUACUCCACUCAACAAAGACAUCUCACGGAGUCAGAAGGAGUAAAAGGGUUGCUAAUACAGAUCUGCAGACUGAUGAUGAUGCCAGUGUAUAUCUGUUAAGAAGACAGCAAAAUCGAAGCCUUAACUGCUAUUUUUACUUAACAUUAAUUGUAUAGCUUGUAGUAUAGCUCAGAAUGUUUAUUUUUUAUUGUAUAUAAUUAUGUGCAAUAAUAUAGUUACUAGUUUCCCUCAUAUAGUUUCUCAUCUGUUAUUCCCCAUGCAUAUAAUAUGAUUGUGUUGUGUGUAAUUUC